rnacentral:lncRNA from 1 species
GGAGGAUUGAGAGGACCUCACACCCCAGGUAGAUGUGACCUCGUUCUGCUCUGAAAAUACCCAAAUCCUAGAGAAAGGGGACCCCGGCCCUGCCUUGCCGCACCUGCCAACCCGAGGAGACCACAAGCUAGGUUGACCAGAUGUGACAUUUUCUUACUUUUGUCUGGGGGAGGUGAGGGCCUUGGUCUGUGGAGGUGACAGUCCGAGGGGGAGCCACAUCAGUUCAGAAGAGGGAGGAGUCCCAGGCUCUGCCAGGAGUCAAGGACCCUUGGGAGGUGAAAACCUUGGUCUGAACUGGUGACAUCAGCAGAGGGAGGAGUCCCAGGAUCUGUGAGGAGUCAAGACAAGUAUCUCAAGGAGGCAAAGGCCUUGGUCUGAGUGUGAAGACAGGUCAGCUGAGGGAACCACAUCAGGUCAGAAGAGGGAGCAGUUCCAAGCUCUACCAGGAGUCAAGGCCUGUGGGAUCUCAUCGCCCAGCAUCCUGCUCACACUUCUACCUGCUGCCUCCAACAAGAGUCAUCAUGUCUGACGCUCCAAAGCAUCCAUGCCUCACAUUUGAGCCAGACUUUUGGGCCCAAAAUGAGAUACAGAACCUGUCAGUAGCACAUGUUUCCACAGCUGAGGAGGAGGAUGAUAUCUCCUCCAUUUCCUCUUGCUCUUUCACCUUCUCCUACCCCUCCACCUCCUCCUCCCCCCCUUCCUAUCCUGUGAUCCCAAGCAGCACAGAGGAGGAGGAGGAGGAAGAGGAACAGGAGGAAGAAAAGGGGAAGGAAGAGGAGGGGGAGAAAGGGGAAAAGUGGGAGGAGCCUGCCACUGUGACAUUGAGUCCUCAUCAGAGUCCUCCAAGCUCCUGCUCCUUCUCCUCCACUUCAUGGAGCACAUCAGACGGAGGCUUCAGCAGCCAAGGAGAGGAAGACACGAGCUCCUCGAAGACCCCAGCAGAUACUGAAUCCUUGCCCAGGGACUGGCUAGAUGAGAAGGUGACUGAUUUAGUGCAUUUCAUGAUCCUUAAGUAUCGAUUGAAGGAGCCC